GUAUAAAAUUGAAAUAGAGAUUGAGUAUGAAGGAAAGAUUGGUUGUUUUGUGUUUUGGGACAAGGAGUGAGUUCAGUAUGUUGGUUUGUCUGCACAUGAUUUACGAGAAGUAAUGAAAAAGACCAAAGAAGACCAUCCACAAAUCUAUCCUGCACACCUAGAUAAUCUAUUGGGCAAAGAAUUUGGUUUUCGUGUGAAGUACCAACCAGACUUUAAGCAAUCUUCUGUUAUCAAGCUUACCGAGGAUAAAUAAAUAAUCCAAAUGAUCAAAGAUGCCAUGGUUCAACAUGAGGUAUUACUUUAUUUUAUAAACUAUAAAUUCUUGACUUCAAUUACUGGGAUUGAAACCUUAGUCCUUACCAUUUUUUUUUAUGCAGCAAACUUCAAAAAAGAUGGUGAAUUCUCCAAUUAUCAAAGCAACCGAAAUUGAUUAUAACCUAGAUCUUCCCGACAAAGACUUUGUCACUCAUACUCGGGUUCCCAUAUAUGACAUGUCUGCUUCCCAAAACUCGAGUGACGAUGUUAAUUCAAGCAAAACACGUGUAAGAGGUUGUCCCAAGAAAGUGAUUUUGAGGAGCUAGGAAGUUCGACUAUGUUGUCUCCAAAGCUAUUUGCAACCAAGUCUGCCAAGAGUAGCAAACAUGCCAAGAGAAAAUGGACCUGUUACCUUUGUCACAUUUUUUUGUACAACAAGCUUCAAUUCUGUUGUAAUUCAAACUUUUUUUGUUAAUUAGGGCCCAUGCAUGACCUCCACAACUUUAUCUACUGAAUUAAUCUUUUUUU